GCACCCGUAGUCAAAUGGAUAUGACGUCGGUCUCCGGAACCGAAGGUACAAGUUCGAUUCUUGUCGGGUGUA
rnacentral:tRNA from 1 species